rnacentral:lncRNA from 1 species
ACAGAUUCAAGGAGUAUUAAUAAUAAGAAAAGAGAUUAACACUGAAAUUACAUAAAAUUCAUCUUAAAAUUACUAAUAACGUACAUAAAAAUAUUUAAAUUAUUAUUAGUUGUAUAAUGAUUACGAAGAUGAAAAAUUAUAUAGAUGAAAUACACUUCCUGAUUAGCAACAAAAAAAUCAUUAGGGAGAGUACAUCCUCUUGCCACUGCUUGCAUCACAAAUUUUAAAACUUGUGUAUUGAAGUAUUGUUUUUGGAGGGUACAUACCUUGUAUAUGAAAUAAACAAAACAAAUACCAUUUUGUAUUUUUUUUAUGUCAGUCAAUGAGUUUUGACCAAAAAAAAAAGAAAAGGUAUAGUAAUAUCACACUCAAUAGAAGAACAAUAAAACAUGUAUGAAAUAUUAAAACAACAAAUAUCAUUUAAAUUAAUGCAUCUAUAUGCAUUACAUUCACAAAAAUAAAUUAUGUUUAUAUUGUCUCAUUUUCAUGUAUUCCUACAAACAUUGUAGAUACUUCUCCCGUGUAAACAAAUCACAUGUAUAAAUGAGUUUCGAAGUAGGUGUGGUAGGAAAAGUAGGAUAAAUUUUGAAUGAAACAACUGGAAAAGACAUUAAAUGAAGGCAGAGAAAAGAGUGAAUGGCCUUUUCUUUAACCUUCUUACCGAGUUGUUUCAACCCCUCAAUAGUCGCAUCACAUUACCCCAUCUUCGUAUAUGAUUGUUCACCCUGCCAUAACAUGAUCCGUCCUUCUAGCCUAAUGUAGACUUCGUAUUUGCAUCACGAAAGCAAAGCACUCUAUUCCUUAUGGGCUUUGAAAGUACCUUUGUGACUUUUGUUGUUUCACUUAGGAUACAUCAUCCUCUAAAAGAAAUUUAUUGCAGGUGUUGAGAAACAGCAAAUAGCCCUCUCGAAAACAUCUUCUGGAUUCGGUCAAUGGUUAGUCCAUCAACUGCCUACGCUGUUAUUUUACGGCGGAUUCAAAACCAUAAAGAAGAGAUGAUUUAUUUUGACCAGUCAAAAAAGUUCAAAGUUGGAAAUUUUGAUACAAAUAUAGAGAAAAAAAAAAUGGAUACAAGAAUACCUAUCGAAUGAACGAUGAAAAGGAAAAUAAUAUCAAACCUGCAUCGAUCUCCUAAUUCGCUAAAUUAUCAUGAAUUUAUCAAAGAAUUUUUCAGAGUCAUAGAAUGUGAGAAAAAUGACUCAAAGGAAUCCCUUUUAGAUCUCUUGACAAAGGAAAAAGGAAUGACAAAUAAAGUUAUUAAAAUACUCGAAAGCCACAACAAAAAUUAAACUACAUAAUCACAUGAAAGGAGAUUUUACCUGUCGGAAAGGAUGAGAGUGAAAGAGAUGGAAAAGUAAGAGAAAAGAGGGAGGCAUUUUUUUUCCAGUCAACAGAGGCAACUGUGAUUAGGGAGUUAGAAGAGAAGGGGCCUGUCAUUAUUAAGCAACUGUUGGGAGAAAGAAAUAAACAAACAACAGUUAGGUUUCUUAUACAAAAUAAGAGAAACGUAAAAAUAGGGGGAAAAAUGCAAAAUUGUCAAAAAAUGGAGAAAAAAGAUAAAUACAAUUGCUGGGUAUUGA